GCCAGACUCCUACGGGAGGCAGCAGUGGGGAAUAUUGCACAAUGGGGGAAACCCUGAUGCAGCGACGCCGCGUGGGUGACGAAGUAUUUCGGUAUGUAAAGCCCUAUCAGCAGGGAAGAAGAUGACAGUACCUGACUAAGAAGCCCCGGCUAACUACGUGCCAGCAGCCGCGCUAAUACGUAGGGAGCAAGCGUUAUCCGGAUUUACUGGGUGUAAAGGGCGCGUAGGCGGGAUGGCAAGUCAGAUGUGAAAUCCAAGGGCUCAACCCUUGAACUGCAUUUGAAACUGUCGUUCUUGAGUACUGGAGAGGUUGACGGAAUUCCUAGUGUAGCGGUGAAAUGCGUAGAUAUUAGGAGGAACACCAGUGGCGAAGGCGGUCAACUGGACAGCAACUGACGCUGAGGCGCGAAAGCGUGGGGAGCAAACAGGAUUAGAUACCCUAGAA
rnacentral:rRNA from 1 species